GUCAUGUACACGCGGGCUGUUUGGAGGGAGGGUACCCAAGAGAAGGAGGGUGUAGUUCCUGACAUUUGGAUCAAUAGAGAAAAGAAGACCGUCAGAUGGCCACGUAAAAUGACCGCAACAAAUACUGAAAAAGCUAUAAAGGACAAAAUGAAACCCCAGGAUGACUGGAUGACAUUUUCAUUAUUAAAGAUAAAAAUUACUUCAGAUAAGCGUCGUGAAGCACUUUCCCUACUGCGCCAAGGAAGCUGCAGCCCAUUGAGGACACAAACAUGUUGCACAAUACUUAUGGAGCCAUGUCUGGCCAAGUGGAGAGUGCGGACAGUCCCUGGGACAGUGAAAUGUCCACUCCUAAUGCAUGCACAGCACCUCUGAGUAGAGACCAGUCGACACCCAGAUCUCGACAUGCGAGGGAUGGCUAUCGCUCCAGGUCUAGCAGUAGGUCCAGCGGUGGAUCCAGCCUCAGAUCCUGGCACGGUGAUAGUUCAAGGCACACCGCCAGGUCCAGCCAUGAUGGGUCACGGCACAGUGAUGUCAGGUCCAGACAUGACGGGUCACGAAACAGGUCCAGACAUGAUGACCGAUCCCAUGGUGAUGCCCCCAGUCUCCCGGCCAGGUCCAGAUAUGACAGAGCACAGCAUGGUGAUCUCAACAGCCUCCACUAUGACAGGCAUGAUGCAGUGACUGAGACUGGGAGAUGGGCCUUCCCAUUGCCUUGGGAUGUGUUCCAGAAAAGAUUCCUGAACCUACUGGUGGAUAUCCACAAUCGCCUGAAGGAAACACAGCCUGCCUCUUCAGCUGUCCAUAUUGAGAGGAUUGACACCAUGGAGGAGUUUGAGUUACAGGAGCAACGCCUCUCUGACGCACAGACCUUUGAUACACUAGUGCUGCAAAUUUCAAGAAUUGGUGGGCGGAACACCAAGAACUGUGCCCACAAAGUGUUGGACGGAAGGGCUCAUGAAAUUCGAUCCCACAGCCACUGAGGAGAACAUCAAAGUGAACGUGUCCGAGCACCUGAAGCCGCGCCGCAAAGACGUGGAGGAUUUACAACGCCCCGAUAAGCCAGCCCCCUCACUCCAUGCAGGAAGACGGUUCUAAAUGAUAUCGGCUUCCACCUCACCAGUGAUGUGGCGACAGAGGCGUGGACAUUUAGUCAAGAUUGUGUUUCCAUUUUUUUUGUAUAACUGGAGCUACAUGAAUCACUGGAUGGCUCAGAUAUAUAUAUACACACACACUCACGAUUUUUGAAAGAGUUAAAUUAAAAGUUCAAAUCAAUUAAAAUAUUAUUCAUUCAUAAUUCUUCUUCACUGGAUGACUCAUAUAUACACCCACUCACUUAUACAGAAUUUUGAAAGAGUUAAAUUAAAAGUUCAGUUCAAUUCAAUUAAAGUCGUAUUAUUCAUUUAUAAUUCUGCCUCAACUGUAUUAUACUUGAUAAGUCUGGUGCCCAUCCUAUGCCAUUCAGGGCCAUUUGUUUUUGAAUAAAGAUGGUCUUCUUCUUCUUCUUCUUUUUUGUUUACUGGCAGAUCGCACCAACUUAAAGGUGCAUAUACCGCCACCUACUGCACUGGAGUGUGAGGCCGGUCACGGCCUCCCUUCUAUAUCCUGUUGUACAGCCCCGUGUUCCUAAGAAAAAUAAAUACUGCCUUCAUUACUGCCUCCUUCCCUUUUCCACCCCCAAGCACCCCACCUCAGUCCCAGCCCCGCUUUGUCUCCCUGACACUACCAUACAACACCACCCUCUCCUUAUCAUACUUCCCACAGACAAACAGUACAUGCUCAACUGUUUCCACCACCUCACAUCUAUCACACAAACCUGUGUCAUGUUUUGCCACCACUCUCAACGUGCCAUUCAACCCUGUGUGCCCAUACCUUAACCUACUCCACACUACCUCUUCCCUCCUGCACCCCAUCAUUCCCCCAACCUCCUUCACUGACCUAUUUAUACCCCGGAAGUGCCUCCCUUUACCACCAUCACCCCACUGUCUCUCCCACUCCGCAAUCCCUGCUUCCCGUAUCAACGACUUAACCUCCCUGCGCCCUAACGACACCCUUACAUCCACCUCAGUCCUCCUUACAGCACUCUUUGCCACCAUGUCAGCCACCUCAUUACCCUCCACUCCAGCAUGCGCAGGAACCCAGCAGAACCUCACCUCUACUCCCUGUCUCUCCAACCCCAGCAAUAUCCCCAUCAAUUCUCCCAGUAGGUCUUCCCUGUCAGACCUACCAUCCAGAACACUGCUUAACACUGCUGCUGAGUCUGAACAUAUCAGCACCCUACAUGGUGUCACAUCCUUAAAGAUGGUGUUACGUCCGGCUGCUCCAUUAGUGUUGACUCCUCCCCCAUGUCUUUGUUUUCAGUCGUUCUUCCCAGGUGUGGUGAGUUGCUGCUGACGAUGCAGGCGUGGCCAGCUGUUCCUCCAGCCAAUCCAGCUCUCAGCUCUGCUCCUUUAAAAUGUUUGUUUGUGAGAGCUUGAAAAGAGGGGGGCUUGUGUUUUGGGAGAGAUUGAGAGUGACAUUGAUUUAGAUAUUGAAAGAAUAUAUGGUUUAUGUUGUUUGUUAAACUGUGGUCUAUUGUACACAUUAAGGUCUGUGUUUAUGUACUUACCCCAAGAGCGCUGUGGAGCAGGGCUAGGUAAGAUACCCUGGGGUCUACAUACACCCGUAGGGAAAACCUCUGUUAGAUACACUAGAUUAGAAGCCAGCGGCUGUCACCCAGUGUAUUGUAGCAGUGAGGUAAGUGGUGUGAUAGGUUAGAUUGUGGUAGGUAGGUUUAGAGGGUUAGGGAAGCUCAGGGUCCUUUGUUUUGUUUCUUUGCUUUGACAGACCGCUGGCACCGCUCUACUCCACAGGCCUUGUUACCUGUUAGUCCUCCCAUCCCGUGUCUUUGUACUUGGGUGUAAUUGUUUGUUGAAAUGUUUGUAUUGUUAUUGUAGGGGAAAUAAACCCACCAUAGCCAUCCAUUGUAGUAGUGUCCUUUACUUAUUGUGGUAGCAAGCUGGGGCCUUCGCACACAGGUUCAGAAUCACCCAGUGGGCGUGGUCUUGGGCAGUUACGCCUUCCUCCUCUCCUGAGCCGGGGUGGAGGCGUAACAGCAACCAACGACUUCCACACACAAAGACGUGACUCUCUAGGUCGUCUUCAGCAAAACACGUGACUCCACCUGUUGUUCUGGAGGUGAAUCGCUCUGCAACACACGCACGACUUUACAACCAGGAAGUGAAACGAGGGCGUCGACACGACGUAAAGACGAAGAAGCAUGCAGCAGCCUUUAGCACCUUGAGUUUUCCCUCAGGUCUGAGACCUCCUCGCCUGUCUCCACUCUUUAGCAUAACAAAACCAAGGUGUUAACACUGUUCAAUGUAUAAAUAUCUUUAUACAUUAAGAAGACUGACUUGCCACUGACUGUCGAUGUAUAGCUGUUGUAGUCUUCUUCUUCCUUGCAAGGAAUAAACAGAAAAUACAACUUUCAUUCACAAGAGACUUAAUAGCUGAUUCCUGAUUGCAUGAUUGGCCCUCAACAACCACACUCAAAGAACAAGAUAAAACAUUCAAUCCCUCAAGCUAGUCUGUUUUCUUCGGAAAUGUCCACAGAGUGUUGUAAUGGAGAGGAUCAGACCAGGGCCCUGUUCCUCAAACGUGGCUAACUGAGUUAGCCGGAUCCUUUUCAGGAUAAGAUGGCGUAGGUCAGCUUUUUUGGUUUCCCAAUGCAGAGAACAUCUGGAAAGCCGCUGCAUGUCGUGCUCUUCGUAAAGUUCUGUUGCUUAAUAAACUUCUGGAUGUUCCACAUUUCACUGCUUCAAUUGAUCAAAUGUCUGAUUAAGAACAAUGGAUGUAUAAUGAUUCUCACACACAUAUAAUAAACUAGUUCUGUGUGGUCAUCUACAUACAUAUGAUACAUAAGCUGAUACAUAGAUCCUAUUCAUUCGUAUCAAUCUGAUGCUUUGGGCUUGUUUUCGUCUACAUACCCUGAAAGAGUUGAGAUCAUUAUUCUCAUUGGGUGAUGAUCAUCAUGAAGCCUCCUGCCAGCAGACACAUUUAAAGAAAUAUAAUCUGAUUGAUUAAAGUGACAGGGCCUUAAAUGAGCCGUUACAUUUUACCAACACGCAUUACGUUAUCUUGUGUACAAAACUUUGUCGGGCUUGUUGUUUUAUUAUAAGAUUCAUUUUAUUUUAUUUUGUAUAGCACAAUAUCGCAAAUUUGCCUCAGAGGUCUUUACAGUCUGUACACAUGUGACAUCCUCUGUCCAGAAACCCUCACAUCGGCACAGGAAAAGCUAUUUCAUUGUCGGCUGGAGUCUGGGGGAGACUUCCCCAAAUCCUGAAAUCUGCUGCCUCAUUGGCAGUUUAAUGGUCUUUGUCAUGAAUGGUGCUCCCCCCCCCCUUUCAUCUUUACACACCUGCCACAACAUUGCUCCAUCCUCAUUGGUCCCCACACAAUUUCUUUCUGCAUCCUGAGCCUGGAAGAUAAUAUUUCCCAUCCCACGGCGGGAGAUUGUCCUUCUGGUCAGCAUUAGCCAAGUUUUACUUCCUGCUUUGCGUCAUCAGCUUUUCCUCUGCUGCUCCUGUUGCCUGGCAACCUGCUGCUUAUUCUUUUCUUGCACAGACUACAAGCUAAUUUAACUGUAACCUUUAGAUAUUAAAGAAUAUGUCAAAGCUGCCGGUCCUUCCUUUCUGCUGCUGUCAGGCUGCACAGCCAUCUCUGCUCCCGGAAGACAGAAACCUGUGCAAUAUAGCAACUGCUGCUAUGAUCAUCAUUAUUACUAUUUUAAAUAUUAAUCAUAUUACUAUUACUGUCAUCAUAAACCGACAUUACCCUUUCCUAAAGUCUUUGUGCUGUCCCUCCCAACAGGCUUCUGUGGAUGGUGGUUCUAUGUGAUGGUGGUUCUAUGUGAUGGUGGUUGUCCCUGCAGUGGUCCUGCCGUACACCUGCUUACUACUCACAAUUACUUGAAUCAUUUCUGUUAUAGGAACUGAAUGUAUUAUACAUCUUUUACAUUGUUCAUUCUGUACACAUGACAUCAUUGUAGUCUGUCCAUCAGGAGACGGAUCCUCCUCUGAUGUUCUCAAUACGGUUUCUUCCCUUUUUUCGCCAUGGAAGGAGUUUUGUGUGGGU
ensembl:lncRNA